UCUUGUCUGCUUCCUUGUUCCAUUUCCUUGUCAGUAUAGUAGCCACUGAUGACAACUCUUUCUACCCCAGGGGUAGCUGUGAGGAUCAAGGGAGCUAUCGCACUGGACUGCUUUGCAGGGGUUGGGAGCAUGUUACUUUUACUCUCAGAGAGUUGUAACUUGGGCCAGCUUCCCACAUGCCCUCAGCCAGGCGGGAGGGCCUCUUGUGACAUUUCUGGGCCUGGUGUGGCCACAGCUAACAAGCCAGUCUUGGUUUACUCUAUGCUGAGAGCCUGCAUGGUCUCACGGCCUGUUGGGAGGGGUUUUAGAGAAGGAAAUGGUUGUGGUGAGACAGAAUGAUGGAGCAACUUUGCAGGGAUCUGGGUGGAAAACCCCUGCUCCUGGUGUGUUCUCAAAUACUGCAGCCCUGCCCCACCCUGCAACGUCAUUAGAAAGUUCCCGGUGGAGUGUGAGACAGAGCAAUAAAAUGUCCUAACUUGUGAAGCCUCAGACCUGCCAUCUCUGGCCUCAGAACCUCUCUGUCACAGGGCAGUGACUGGGGUCAUCCAGAUUCUGGUCCUACCAGCCAAGCCUCAACUCUGCUGCUCCAAGAGACUGGCCAGGAAAACAGCCUUUGGAGUCAGUUCCUGAUUUGUUGGCUGGGUGACCAGGGCAGUCCUUUUUCCUCUUCAGGAAGUGACUGACAUUGCUUCUGGGUCUUCAGUGGCAUGAUCUUCAGACCAAGAUACCACGGCCAAGCUAAGUUAUUUUAUAAACUCUGGGCUGUUGGAUAGUAGGCCCAGUCUUAUAGAGAGAUGAAGAAACACCCAGAAUAGUAGGAGGGAUUGGUGACUGGUCAUUGAGUGGCUUAGAGAACUCAUCAUUCUGUAUUUCUACUUCCUCAUUGACACCCCCCCAUUUGAGUCUGGCUUCCUUCUCUGUAAAAUGGGGUGGGGGUAAGCUUCAAUGGUCUUGGGCCUUGUAAUCUGCUUCCCAGCUGUUAUUCUGGGCAAGUUACUGCAUCUUAGUUUUUCCAUCUGUCUAAUGGGUGUUUUUAUCCCUCCCUAGUCUUAAGGGUGCUGAGCUCCAAGGGGUGAUGGCCACAGAAGUAUUCUGAACAGGAAGGAAAGUGGAGAUUCAUGUUAGUACAGCACAGUACAUCUUCCCUGCUCCCUGAGGAAUCUGGAGUGUACUGUCCCCAGUGCCUCCUGGAAAUAAACUUGGAACCAUCAUGCCGAGGGCCUGUGUAAACAAAGUCACUGGCUCUUUACUGCCCCAAAGGGAUCAAGGCUUUCCACUUGGCUUCCACCUGAAACCUUUCACCUCUUAUGCCUACUGCCUCCUGUUCUCUGAGACACAGCAAAAACCUUCCUCAAACAAGCUUGUACUUUUCCACCUCCAGACUUUUACUUGUGGGUGCAAGGUUCCAACUCUACUCGUCAUCUUCCUCUCACAUCCGCUCCUCCUCGUUCACCUCACAAUGAGAGGAUAUCCCCAUGGACUCAGGGGCUGAGACCUGGAGCCUGGGGUGUAGUAACCUUGGCUCCUUUUUUUCCUCACUCAUUCAUAUGAACCCUGGGCCAUGAAGAUUCUGUUUUCUAAGAAUCUAUCCUUUGUUUCCCAGGCCUUGAGGCACAUACAGGGCCACUGUAGAAUGGUUACACACCUUCUCUAUGCUGCGGUCGGUGUGGAAACUAGAGGCCCACAGGGUGUGUGAACAAACGAAUCACCGAGCCGGAGGCUUCUAGUUGACCAACCCUAACUGAGCACCUUGGACACCACGAAAGCACCUGACGUACACCCGCUCAUCCUGCCUGCUUCACCAGGAGGGAUGAAAAAAUUAAUGACCCCUGUCUACACACUGACUCAUGUGGCUUUUCAUUGUAAACUGAAAAAAAGUAAAAUCCCCUGCCAACAAUCCGCAUCAGGAACUGUGACUGCCUGAUUUCACGUGACCUUGAGACUUUUAAUCAGCUGCUGGAGAUGGGGUUGCUGUUUGAGCCCACGGCCUAUCAGAAGCAAAAACAGAAAAUGUGGACCCUUGCCGAUAAGGAACGUGGCUACUCUUAGAAGCACACUAGCUGCUCCGCCAGGGAGACCGUGGGACACAGCAACCAUAACGCGCUUGAAAGGAAAAUUGGCAACGCCUUUCUCUCACGCCUCUGCGCUCGGGAUGCUCAGCUCCCACGAUGAACACGUCUAAGGUCAGGAGCAAGGAAGAGGUAGGACCCUGAGACCAACAGAACAUACCCAAAGCAGAGACGCACUAGCAACUGUAAUCUUUUUGUUUAAAGAAAAGGUCUUGCUAUGUAGCCCAGGCUGGCCUUGUACUCCGGAUCCUCCUGCCUCAGCCUUCAGGCAGCUGGGAUUACGGUUGGGCACCACCAUGGCUGGCACAAUAACCGUAAUCUUAGUGGCCUAAAUAUUUAUCACCAUACUGCGGUGUCACCGACCAGGUGGCAAGUGGAAUGAGAAGGAAUCUGAAUGGUAGGAAUUAUCAACUUGUGAAGUGCGACUAAGUUGAUACAAUGGCUUUGGAAUCUGUAUUUACAGAACUUGGAAAGCCUGAUGAACUUGUCUCACAGGACAAAGGCAAACCCAAGAAAUUCUCACUGUUGCCUCCAUGCUCUAAAACACACCAUCAGGACUCUCUUAAAGUACAUGGCACAGUGACCACGUACAAGAUCCCACAGUACAGCACAGAAGGCAGCAGGACAUUCUGGAGCAGGGCUGCUGAGCAAACUUCUCUUCAGUUCUACCUCUCCGCUAAUUCUGAGCUUCCCAGCAACUUUUUCCUUUUAGGAGAUGCCAGACAGGGGCUGUCCUCCUCACAAUCUGCACACUGGGAAAGAGCUCACACCGGCCGCUGCUCUGAGAUCAAGCAGUGAGCUACCUGGGGAGACGAUGUAUAGCUCUGUCAUAGGCCUCCUGGCUUACUUGACAGCACUAUUCUCCAUGGUCAGCCUCCCAAGUAGCUGGAAUUACAGCUGUGAGCCACUGAACCCAGCCUGACUGAUGGAAUUUCUUCAUCUUCUGAAGAACUGGAGACGGUACUAUACAUCAGGACAAUGACACCAGAGCGCCAAUGGACCGGAUGGUGAGGAUACUAGAAAGCCAAUACUGAACAGGUCACUUGUUCAGUGGAUGUCAGCAAAUGAGACCAAUCCAUUUUGAAACAGCAAUUCCCUUUACAUCUGGGAUUAUGCAAGAGCAAUUCUCACAAUCUGACACAGCCCAGAGGAAGCAUGAAAAGAUGGGACCUUCGAGGGAC